rnacentral:lncRNA from 1 species
CGAUGACUGUUUUCAACAAAAGAGCAGAUAGCCGACCUCAUUAAAAGGGGUUACCUGGGAAAUAUGUCGCUAAUCGCCACUGCCCAACUCCCCAGAAAGAAAGUACGACGACAACAAACCAAUUGCGGGCAUAAUACAAAUAAUCCACGGAGGUUUCGGAUCGGCGGUUAUUCAACUUCAUCCAGGAAAAGGCAUGCCAGAAAAAAAAAAAAAGUGCCCAUGACCAGCUGACGAGGAAGUUUUACAACCUCUCCUAGCCAUUCGUUGCUGACCAAACACCCAUCACCUCAGCAAUGAUGAUUGAAGGCGUGCACUUACCCCACACGAGCCCUGGUGGUCUCGACGUCAUCGCCAAUUUCAACGUCCAGAGUAUUCCUGAUCGACAACAGGAGCUCGGCGUAUAUCUUGUUCAUCUCUGCGUUCGAAAAAAUGAAAGUUUGGACCAGCAAGUUGCAUCCUUUUCCAUACCCCCCUGAUCGGAUUUGGAGGAAAUACGACGCACCCCUUGGGAUGGAUCACUUACCAAUAACCCUGGGAACCGAACCACACCAGACCACCGUAUGCAGGAUUAAAAAUUAUGUGGUUAUAUUGCCCCCCGCCUUAUAACGCCAUCCUGGUCGACCUACCCUAGGAGGAAUCAAGGCGAUCAUUCUACCUACCACCUGAAGAUGAAUCCCCACCUUACGGGGUGGCCGAAGUAAAGGGCGAUCAGAAAGUGGCUAGGCAAAUACUUUAUCUCGGCCAUUAAUUUUGGAACUUCCGUUCAGUCCGCCCAAUAGGCAAUCACAGAAGCGGGCGAUGACACGGGAUAUUGAGAGAUGAAAUAGAACAGCUUAUGCCUAGAGACCCCAGAGAACCAGGGACGAGAACACCAAACCUCUCGAAGAAGUCGUCCAAUCUUCCAUUCACCCAACCUACCCAGAUCGUCCCCCCCCCCAAGUUCAUGAUCGGAACAAAGCUCACCGAUGAAUUGCUAUCGCCUUAUAGAUUUCUUGAAAAGAAUUCGACGUGUUCGCUGGUCACAAGCGACGUCCCUGGCAUCGACCACCGAAGUCGUCAUGCAUAAGCUGUUCACCAAGCCUGAAUACUCCCCCAGUCCGCCAGAAAACGAGGAAGUUCGCCCUGACGCCUGAAAGUCAUUGAAGACAAAUAAGAAAACUCAUCAAAGCUAAUGUUUCCGAAAGUUCACUAUCCGAUUGCUCGCCAAUGUUCGUCGUUCGCCCGCAAAAAAGGGGGAGAAGUGUAGUUGUGGCGUAGACUUCGCCGACCUCACAGGCUUGCCCGAAAGACAGUUUUCCUUUGCCUAAAAUCGAUUUGGAUAGUCGCGCCACUCCAAGCAUGAGCUCUGAGGCUUUAUGGCUCCUCUCGGGUUAUCAUCAGAUCAAAUGUAUCCUCCUGAACGUUGAGAAAACUCUUUUAUCACGGAACGGGGGCUAUAUUGCUACAAAUUCAUGCCGUUUUGGGUUAAAGAACUCGGGGCCAACGUAUCAGAGAUUGGCAACAGGAUGUUCAAUGCACAAAUUGGAAAUAACUAUGGAAGUUUACAUGAUGAUAUGCUGGUUAAGAGUCUCCAAGCACACCACCACCUCGCCCCCUUGAAGAAGCAUUUGACAUACUGCGGCGGCACAGAAUGAUUGUUGAAUCCCUCUAAAUGCAUCUUUGGGUGUCUCUGGAAAGUUUCUGGGAUUCCUGUCACCAAGCGAGGAUUUGAGGAACCCGGAUCAAAUCAAAGCCUAAUCGCAAUGAAUCGAUUUAAGAAUUCCAAAAGUACAGCACUGACCGGGCGAGUAGUACCCCUGAAUAGAUUCGCUCGUCUCCAAAUUGCGGACAAAUGCCUCCGUUCUUCAAAUCCCUGAGAAAGAGCCAGACCUUUCAAUGGAGUGAGGAAUCUGAAACGCGUUCGCAACAGCUAAAAGAGUAUCUCGGGUCCCCGCCUUUUACUUCGGUCCCAACCGCCGAACGAAGAUCUCUACGUGUAUUUAUCUGGCCUCUCCCACCGCAUAAGUGCGUACUAAUCGCGAAAGAAGGUAAAUCCAAAAACCAAUAUAUUACGUUAGCAAACACUUUCAUUGGUGUAAGGCCAGAUAUCCGAAGAUUGAAAGAUCGCCUAUACUCUAAUGAUCGCCGCCAAAAAAAAAAUUUCGUCAGUACUUCCAGCCCAUUCCAUCAUAGUGUGACAGAAUCAACCACUAAAGCAUAUUCUCCAACGACCGGACACGUCGGUAGACUCCCUGAAGGUCCAUUCGAGCUAAGUGGUUCCACAUUGAGUACAAUCCAAGGACGGCAAUAAAGUCCGCAGCCCUGACUGAUUUUCUUGUCGCAUCCACCCAUGAAGACACUCCAACCAGAGACUACUCUCUUGAGGCGAAUAUCCUAAGACCAACCUCAGAAAAGACCUCGCCCACCUUGAUAUUGUUCGUUGUGGCUCUUUCUAACCAGCACGGCUACGGUGCAGGCUCGUCAUAAGAGCUCUCAUGGGGGGGGGGGGGGGGGGGGGGGGGGGGCCGCACCAGAUGGAUAUACGCCAUAAGAUGGGGUUUUAAAGCCACCAACAAUGAGGGCCGAUUACGACCCUCCUCGCCGGACUAGAGUAGCAACAAGAAGUUGGAGCACAAUCUUGGAAGUCUUCAGCGACUCACCACUGGUGGUAACCAAGUCGCAGGAGACUACCUCGCCAAGGACGCAAUGAAUAUAGCUUAUUUGGGAGAGGUAAAGGCUGUGUCCGCAAAGACAAGGAGUUUAAGAUUCACCGAUUCCCCCGAGAAGAUAAUAAAAAAGGCAAUGCCUUGGCUCAUCUGGCGUCCAACUUUUGAGUUUAUUUGACAGGUGCUACCUCUGGAAUUUUUAACCAGCCCAACAUCGAAAUCGCCAACAAAUCCUACAAAACCUAAGAAAAUCCGACGUGGCUGGACGACAUUAUUGCCUAUCUUCAGAAAGGUAUCUUGCCAAAAGAUAAGCUCCAAGCUCGCCGCCUCCUACAGAUCCGCAAGAUUUUGUAGUUUUCAAGGGCAUGCUAUACAAGAAGGUAUUUUUCAGACCACUCUUUAGAUGUCUCCGACCAGAAGAGCAGAGUAUGUUCUACGAGAAAUCCACGAAGGCAUAUGCGUAAAUCACUCCGGAGCAAGAUCUUUGCGAAGAAACUAUCGCCAAGGAUAUUUUUGGCCGACCAUAGAACGAGAUGCGACAGCAUAUAUAAAGAGAUGCGACAAAUGCCAUAGGUUUUUCCCCCGUCAUCCUUCUCUUCUCACACCGAUAUGGUACCAAUGUCCAGGCCCCUAGCCAUUCGCCCAGUGUGGGAUUAGACAUUCUGGGUCCCCCUACCGCAACUUCCUUUGCAAAGGAAGUUUUUAAUCGUCCGCAUAGAUUAUUUUUACUAAUGGAUAGAAGUUCAUCCUUUCGCCAAGAUUACUGAGAAAAAUACCCGAACUUCGUAUGGAAGACCUGUUUUUGCGAUUCGGAGUCCAAAGGUUAUUCAUCUCCGGACAAUCAAGGCAAUUCGCAACGACAGGUUCAGGUUAUUCUGCUCGGAUCUUCGCCAUCUCCCAUCAUUUCUCCCGCCCGGUCAUCCUCAGCUAUGGCAAGUUGAAAGUCACCAGCGUACCAUCCUCAGAAUUUGAAGGCAGGUUAACGACAAAAAGCAGUGGUCAGAAAACUUGCCGAACAUACUUUGGGCUUAUAUACUACCAGUCCGGAUUCUAUGGGUGAACUCCUAUUCCAUGUCUCGGCACCGAAUCAGCAUACCGGUGGAAAUAAGUAUCCGCGCUUCAAGAUUUCGAAUUUCGACGAGAAAGCAAUUGAAGGCCCGAGCUCAAACUCACCUAGACCUUCUUGAGGAAAAAUAGAGAGAACCGCCAAGCUACGUCAAUGGCUUACAAAUGCCAGGUCGCCAAUACUAUAUCCAAAUGGUCAUACACCGAUCAUUUCCUUGGGCGACCUGGUCUUGCGGAAAGUAACCUGCCAACUAAAGAACCAAAUGCGGAAACUCGCCUAACGUGGGGAAGGUCCUUACAAAGUCGUCAAAGUCUCCCGACCAGGGACUUACUGGUUAGAAGACCUAAACGGAAAGGCACUUUUACAUCCCUGGAAUGCCGACAUUUGAAAAAAUCUAUCAAUAAACUACUCGAGACAAUCCAGCCACGCCCUAAUAAUCUUAUGAUUUAGAAAUUGGUUUGCAUUCGCUUAUGAUUUUAUAUCAUCGUUUAUAUCAAGAUUACUAGCCGCCAUUGUUGAUAUCGCCAAUAUAUGAUCGCCAAUCCAUGCAGCUGAUCUCCUGAUCGCCCAUAUAUAUUCGCCAUUAUUAUGAUCGCCUAAAUCGAUGAUCACCAAGUUAAAGCAAAGGAUAAUCGCCCGUUUUGAAGUCGCCACAUCAUUCAUUAAAGUUGAAAGAAUGGGAACCAAUAUAUUUUCAUUCAUAUGGAUCACAAAAUUACAUCUUUAAAAAAAAAAUUAUACAUCAGGGCAACUCCUGCAACAGGAUCUUCUCCUUCUUUUUCAUCGCCUCUUCUCCUCGACGAAACUUGGGUCCAUCGCCAUAUUGCCACGUCGACGCCGAGGUUGGGGAAUUGAGAGGAGCUGCCUCUUGCGACCCAAAUCCCUCACUGAAGUAUGUUGGAGCAGAUCUGUACCGCUUGCCUUGAAUUCUCUCGAGGCUUUGAAGUCCCUCGAUGGCUGCUCCUUGGCCUUCGCCAUUUAUUUGUGAGUUUCCGCCAGGUUGCCUUUUAGAUCAUCCACCUCGGUGUCGGGCUUUGAUCCUUCCUCGCUAAGCCGCCAGCUGAUUCCUCCGCCUUAAACGGCUCGCUUUUGAGCUUUAACCAAUUCAUCUCGGCGGAAUCUGCGCGGCCAUAUGGAAGUCUAUGUCCUUGGAUAUGCUCUUGGCUGCGGAUGGCAAGAGAGAGGCUAACACAACACCUGCCAAUAUAACAUCAAAAGAAACAACACCAAGAUUUUCACAAUUACCUGACCCAAAGCGUGGAAGAUUUUACGACCAUUCAUUCUUCAGG